rnacentral:lncRNA from 1 species
UAUAUUAUGUCAUAGAUCUUUUUGUAGGUAUUUUAAGAUCUAAUUUUAUGCAUGUAUUUGUAGAUUAAAAUAUUUAAUCUAUCUUUAUUCUAUUGUAAAAAUUUUGAAAUGCAUGCAUGAACCCUAUACUUUUCCAAUAGUGGUAUCAGAGCCCUAAGUUCUUUAUGAUAUGUAUAUCUAUACAUAUAAUUUAAAAUCUGAUUUCAAAUUGAAGCAUGUGAUGUUUAUUUAUGAUGUUUAUUAUUUGAUUUUGAUAUGAUCAAAAUAUAAUAAUCAAAUCUGAAAUAAUUUAGAUUAGAUCUAAAUUAAUUAGAUUAGAUAAUCUAAGUAGUGUAGCAGUC